ensembl:lncRNA
UGUUUACAUGACAUGCAGAUCACGUCCGGGCCAGCGUCUGGGCAAUACAAAAAAUGGAAUCAAAGAUGUCCGACAUCACAGGUGGUUUAACAGCAUUAACUGGCAUAAAUUAAGAAUGGGGCAGCUGGAGGCACCAACUAUUCGACUCAUAAGAAAGGGUCCUUGCUAUAUAAACUUUGACCGCUUUCCCUAUGAUAAGACCCAAGCAGAGGAGGA